rnacentral:rRNA from 1 species
GACGAACGCUGGCGGCGUGCUUAACACAUGCAAGUCGAACGGAAAGGCCCUGCUUUUGUGGGGCGCUCGAGUGGCGAACGGGUGAGUAACACGUGAGUAACCUGCCCUUGACUUUGGGAUAACUUCAGGAAACUGGGGCUAAUACCGGAUAGGAGCUCCUGCGGCUGGGGGGGGGUGGGAAAGUUUCGGCGGUUGGGGAUGGACUCGCGGCUUAUCAGCUUGUUGGUGGGGUAGUGGCUUACCAAGGCUUUGACGGGUAGCCGGCCUGAGAGGGUGACCGGCCACAUUGGGACUGAGAUACGGCCCAGACUCCUACGGGAGGCAGCAGUGGGGAAUAUUGCACAAUGGGCGGAAGCCUGAUGCAGCAACGCCGCGUGCGGGAUGACGGCCUUCGGGUUGUAAACCGCUUUCGCCUGUGACGAAGCGUGAGUGACGGUAAUGGGUAAAGAAGCACCGGCUAACUACGUG